rnacentral:lncRNA from 1 species
UAAAUUAUUAAACUUAUAAUGUAUCAAUCAUAAUUAUCCAAGUUACUGAUUUAUUUAUAAUUUAUCAAAAAUUAAGAAAUUUAUUUUACAAAAACUAAGAGACAAAGUGUAAUUAUAAGACAAAAGAUAUUUACCUGAAUAUUCGGUUGAAGCGCAGCGAGACUGUCGCGAGCCCUGGGACCGGGGAGCGGUAGCCUAAUCACAGUUUACUUUGUUGGAGCGUCGGUGUAUGAUGAGCGCGGUGAGGGUGCGUUACGAGUGUAUGGAUGUCUGUAUUUGAUUCUUUGGACUCGUAUCGUCUACACGAACACACUUUUAAAUUUCGCGCUAUCAAAAUUUAACAUUCGACUCUCUCAAAAAACUAAAAAUUUACGCUUUUAAAAAUUUAAAAAUUUGCGAAUUUUACACGAUUUUCACGUCUAAAAUUCAGAAAUUUCGCGAUUUGGAAAAGGGGAGCGAGAUCUCUUGGUGAAUUGUGUGACCUAGAUUGAACCAGCUUGGCCGAGUGGAAGAGGAACAUGAUACGAUGUGACCUGUGCCAUUACUUAAUCUAUAGUAUAAAUCAGGACGGUAGUUUGAAUUGAAAAUCUAUCUCUCGCGAUCUACGACGCAAAUUCAUUGAGGUGUGAGCCAAAGGUUCAAGAUUGGCACUUUAAUUAGUUUUUCCGCCCAAAAAACAGCAAUGGUCAUGAGCAGCCCGACAGCAGGAGGAACGGGCGAGGGCCAGCAGAACGAGCCACGAGCGGCAGAGCAGCACGGGCACAGGCAAAAGCGCGGGGAGGGGGGGGGGAAGACCCCUUAUUUUUUUAUUUUUUUUUUGAAUUUUAUAUAAAAAAUUUUUUUUUGUUAAAAUUUUAUAAACAUUUUUUUUAUUUUUUAAGACCCUUUGAUUCUUUUUUUUUAAUUUUUACUUUUACUUUCCCAAGUGUUAUAUAAAAGCAAAUUACGAUAAAAAUUUUAAAUUUUCUUUACUCUCACUUUUUUUUUAUAAAAGAAAAAAAAUAUGAAUCAAAAUUGUAAAUUUUUUUUUAAAAAUUUCGGAUGGGUUAAUAGUUAAUGUUAUUUGUGAUUUGAGUCUGUUUUUUUAAUACCCUUAAUUCUUUUUUUUUAUAUAAAAAAAAUUAUAAAAAAAUAAUAUAUUUUCUUUUGGAGGAGAUAUUGAUUUUAGAAAAUUAUAUAUAUAUUACAAAUCAGGACUUAGUUUGAAUCCAAAAAUAUAUGUCUCUCGCUAUUACGGCCAAAUUCAUUUGAGUGAAUUAACGACUCAGAGUUGACCUCAGAUUAUUUUUUUCCGACCUAAAAACUAUCCACUUUCGUAUCCAAUGGCCUGAGAUUAAAUUUUACUGUUAAACCAAUGAUCAAGAUUGAUUUAGAAAACCUUUCCCCAUUCCUCUUCACACGCCACCUGCAUCCCUCUUCAAGGUUUUAACACUCUCUCUCUCACAUCAUUUUAUCAGCCCGUUUGGCAGCGGGGAGAGAGAUGAUUUUGGUGAUUUAGAAUGAGGGAGAUUUGAGGGGGAUUUAAAUGAGGGAAGAUAUAAUAAGGGGGGCUCCCCCCCACUUUUAAGAAGGGUUGGAUUUAUAGUUGUGUGCAUGUAUGUGUUUUGAGAGAGAGAUUUAGAAGGUGGGAUAUAUGGGAUAAUAAGAUAUAAAAAGACAAAAUUACCCUACUUCAUUAAUUAGUGUUAAUAUUAAAUAUAAUUUUGUUUAAUUUAGAUAAAAUAUAGAUUAAUUAAUUUUCGAUGAUUUAAAAUAAAAAUUGCACUUCCAAAUAUAAUUUAUAAUUUAAAAAUAUAUAAUUCAAUUUGGUGGGGUUAUUAAAUUAUCCAAAAUUAAUUAUUUAGUGAUAUAAUAUGUCAAAAAUAUAUUACUUUCAAAAUUUUGGCUCGAGAAAGAUUCAAACAAUUCAAAUUUUGAAUGAAAUAUUAUUUGAAGUUUCUAAUAGUAAUAUGUAUGAAGAUUACAACAAAAAAUUAACCAACCCAAAAGGUAGAAAAACUAGUAAAAAAUAAAAAUACGUUUUAAUUUAAGAAAAACAUAAUCCAAAAAAAUCGAGUAAUUUAUUUUAAAUUUGAUGAAGAUUCUUUUUUAUUUUAACUUUGUUUUAAAUGAAUAAUUAAAAAAAAUUAAAAAAAGAAUAAAUAUAAAAAUUAUUUGAAGGGACAAAAGUCCAACACACCCAAAUAUGUAAAUCCUACCCAAAAAGGUGCUGUAGUUAGAAAAUGUUCACCUUUUAGUCUUUUAGUUUUAAUUUAAAGAAAUUACGAUUUGUAAUUUCAAUUUGAUUCUAAAUCUAAUUCUCGACAAUACCAGGUUAAUAGUUUGAGCAUUAGUCAAAAACUAUAGGGACCAAUUCUACUCCUCGUCAAUACCAUUGUAACGAGGAUGUUUGGAGCCAAAAGAUUUGUCUAAUGUUAUCAAAUUGGAACUAUAGAUAUCAAAGUUAAACUUCUAUCAACUAUAGGGAACCAUAAUGAAGUUCAUAUAAAAAAAUUUGUAGCAUGUUUUAUGGAUCUAAAUGCUUUUAAAAAACACAAGGGAGGUUCAUGACUAGGGAGGCCCCACCCCAAUCGGGACAAACUUAUGAGACGCCAUGCCACCUUAGACCACAGGGCAUCGACCAACUAUAUAAAAUUGCAAUAUCUUAUUACAAUUAGAAGAACCCGAUUGUUUCCCCUAUCUCUCUUCUGUAAAUCGAAGAUUAUGACCAAAAAAUUAGGGGCACACGGUAAUACCAUGCCCAAUAAAGAGGGAGACAACGGUCAUUUGACCACCACGCGGAGGGUUUUCGCCGCGACAACGGACGGGGUAACCCGUCCGUGCCCAUUCAGGCUGUGGCUGGAGUUGGAGUCCGAUCGGAGGAGAAAUCAAGGGAGCCAAAAUGGUCCCAAACACGGGAGUGGAGAGAAGAGGGAGGAAGAAUCCGGGACGAUGCCAAAUCCGAGGGCCAUCUCCGACGCCAAACCAGGGUGUAUAGUCUUCAUCUUGUCGGCCUCUCCUAAUGCUCCAGGAACUCUCUGCCUCGGGAUCCUCCAUGGCGCCAUGCCUACGUCGACGAUCUCCCCCUAUGCUCUAGAACAGUCUCCCUCCUACUCCUCUAAACACCGCCUCUCCAUCAUUUCGUUACGGUCUAACAUCGAGGAUGAAGAAAGAGAAAACACAAGCCCGGUUGAGGAAAGGAGCCAUCUGGAUUCUCUCUCUCUCGUUCCUGUCAUUGUUUGAUUUCGCCAGGCAUUUUUUGGUUUUGAUUAGAAGGAACAAUGGAGAGAAACACCCGGUGAGGAAGCCUACACAUCCCCGCAAAACGCGCUCACUAGGUGCCGAAAAUCCCUCCGCCGCUCCCGGCCGCCCGCUCUCACAGAGGUAUAGAGUGUUCGAGAAGGAACAUGCUGGGAAUAUAUCCUUUCUCCCCCCCCUCUCUUCUUUCUUUUUCUGAUUUCGCAGCAUUUUUGGUUUCGAUUAGGAAGGAAUAAUGGAGAAUUGGAGAGAAGAAACCUCACAAGGACCAAAACCAUCUCUCUCUCUCUCUCUACAAGCCUGCUGUUUUAGUUGACUCAUUCCUUUCACUUUGUUCCCAGGUUCGAAUCAAAUUGGCAUCUAUAGAUAUCUCGCCGAUCAUGCGUUGAGUUUGAAGAUUUGAAUCCUGAUUCGGCAUUGAAUUCGUCGCGAUUGGUCCGAACACUGUAUGGUAUUCACCAAAUUAACUCAUCUCUUUUACUUCCGAUUAGUCUAAUAGAUCUCCGAAAUAAAUAAUCGAUUUUUACACUAAAUCGUGUAAUUUCCAUUUGUUCCGUCACUUUAGGGUUUCGUGAGAUUACAGAUCUGAGCAGAGAAGAAGCCUGUGCAAUUAUGCUCUUUUAUGCAGCUUAUGAAUCAUAGGUAGGUUUAUGCUUUUAACGUCAUUUUUUUUUUUUAUAAUUAUAGGAUAUCACCAGGGUUGAGACAUUGAGAGGUUUUACUCGCAUUUUUUGUCUAUUGGCUCUUCGUUUACUUUUUCUGCCUGUGCAAGUUUCGUUGGAGUUCUGCUCUACAUGCGUUGUUCUGGAGAAAAUCCUAGAAAAGACAUGAACUUGGGGCAAUAUGGUGUCUGUUGUGUUGGAGUUCUUAAAUGGCGGAAAUGUGAAACUCAACACGUGUAAUUUGGAGGAUUGUGUUCUUGGGCCUGAUUUAAAAUUCGAAUUUAUCCAAACAAGCCUUCUUCCUUUUUUGUUUUGGUCUUUUUCAGAUUUCAUUCAUAAAAGGGAAAAAAAAAUUGAAGAUUUAUCCAAACAAUUGUUUCGCAUAUUGUAUUUCUGGUGUUUAUAUUAUUAAAAGUGACAUCUCAGCUCAAGAAACUGUAAAUGAAACUGAAGGUUAGUGGGAUUUUAACGUGAAGAUUCAAGUUAAUCUCACCUUUGCCAUCUUUAUUUUGUGAAAAAAAGACGAUAAUAAAUUGUUGGGUAACAUCCCCUUCAAGUGCUGAGCUGGUGUAAGGGUGAGGGAUGGUUUAAAUGCAUGUUUUCAAGUCCUGGACCAAUCUCAAAAAGACCCCACCAUAUAUGAUAGUUAUAAGCGGUACCAUACCCAGCAAGGUUUGUAUGUUGUGUAGCAACGUGAAUGAGGUUACUAUUUGCUUACCUUAUGGCAUGAGGAUUUUUACUACUGAAUGAUUUUUGCUGCCUCAUCUCAACAUGCACACCAACUGUUGAGUUUAGAGAAACCUUGGUGUUUUAUAAGUUGUUUUGAUGAUUUCUUUUAUAGGAUUUUGCCUAUUAAAAAGGCAAAUGGGUAAUCCAAAGAACAUUAGUGUAUCGAAUCCCUGCCAUUGUGAUAUUUGUAAAAAAAAAUUGAAUUGAAUCCUUUUGAAUAUUUGCUACAGUUACUGGGCCGGUGUUUCUUAAAUUGAUCUAUUUUGAGAUGAGUUUUGGAGGAGGAAAAAUUAUGUUUUGUUGAAAUACCUUUAGGCACGGGGUGGGUGAUUUGAUAGAAAAAGAAAAUAUAUAAAAUACAUAUAAAUACUU